rnacentral:rRNA from 1 species
UACGUAGGGUGCGAGCGUUGUCCGGAAUUAUUGGGCGUAAAGAGCUCGUAGGCGGUGUGUCACGUCGUUCGUGAAAACCUGCAGCUUAACUGUGGGCGUGCGGUCGAUACGGGCAUCACUGGAGUUCGGCAGGGGAGACUGGAAUUCCUGGUGUAGCGGUGAAAUGCGCAGAUAUCAGGAGGAACACCGGUGGCGAAGGCGGGUCUCUGGGCCAAUACUGACGCUGGAGGAGCGAAAGCGUGGGGAGCAAACAGG